UGGGGGCCCUGAUGGAUGGAGAGGCUUUGCCUGGUUUCCUCCGUUCUGGCAGGGUGCUACAUCAUCCAUCCCGCUCCUGGUUUUAAAAACAGGUGAGGAAGCGGCGGUAGAGGAAGGGGGGCACAGACAGACGGGCAGGGCUCCGGCGAGCCGCAGGGAUGCCGCAUCAACAUGCACAGCGUCGCGCCGAUGCUGAGCAUCCCGGCGGUGGCUGGACGGCAUCGCGCUCGCCAAGAAGAGCCGCAGCAGGGACAGGUGGCAAAGCCACCCCCAAAAGCAGCGACGAAGGGGCAGCCCCCUCCCCACCCCACACCCAGGGACCCUCCUGGCUGUUUAUUCCCCCUGCACCAGCGGAUGUCUCCCAGGGAGGUCUCAGCUCAACGCAGCUCCGGUCCUGCUCCGUUGUAAUCCUCGGGGAGGGGAUGGGGACGUGGUGGCCACCCCAGCUGCCGCGUCCCCUGGCCUCAAGCAGGGGACGAGAGGAGACUGCAGAGCCCAGUUGGGGCUGGCACAAAUGCUGAGCGCCAGCGGUGCCGCUCGCCUGCCCGCCUUGCGAAUCUGGCUCAUCCUGUGGCUCCAACUAAUGUGACUUGCAUGUGUAAUUUAUUUUUAAAAGGGGAUUCUUGCUUUCUCUCUCUCCAUGCUGCCUGCUGGCUGCUCCUGGAUUUUCCAAGCAGAGGGAAGGGGAGAGGGGUAUGAAUAAAAUAUCAUCGUGACAGCUUUUAUAUAUAUACAUGAACCUGCUCCGCCAGGCUGCAAGCUUCAUUUUUAAAUAAGAAGCUCGAUUCAGUUCCCAGGAGGCCGGGAGAACGCGCCGG